GACGAACGCUGGCGGCGUGCCUAAUACAUGCAAGUCGAGCGGAGUUUUUAAAAGCUUGCUUUUAAAAACUCAGCGGCGGACGGGUGAGUAACACGUGGGCAACCUGCCCUGUAGACUGGGAUAACUUCGGGAAACCGAAGCUAAUACCGGAUAAUCAUAGAAGUUGCAUAGCUUCUAUGUAAAAGUUGGGUUUACCUAACACUACAGGAUGGGCCCGCGUCGCAUUAGCUAGUUGGUAAGGUAACGGCUUACCAAGGCGACGAUGCGUAGCCGACCUGAGAGGGUGAUCGGCCACACUGGGACUGAGACACGGCCCAGACUCCUACGGGAGGCAGCAGUAGGGAAUCUUCCGCAAUGGACGAAAGUCUGACGGAGCAACGCCGCGUGAGCGAUGAAGGCCUUCGGGUCGUAAAGCUCUGUUGUUAGGGAAGAAACAAGUGCUAUUCGAAUAGGGUGGCACCCU
rnacentral:rRNA from 1 species